GACGAACGCUGGCGGCGUGCUUAACACAUGCCAGUCGAACGGAAAGGCCCUGCUUUUGUGGGGUGCUCGAGUGGCGAACGGGUGAGUAACACGUGAGUAACCUGCCCUUGACUUUGGGAUAACUUCAGGAAACUGGGGCUAAUACCGGAUAGGAGCUCCUGCUGCAUGGUGGGGGUUGGAAAGUUUCGGCGGUUGGGGAUGGACUCGCGGCUUAUCAGCUUGUUGGUGGGGUAGUGGCUUACCAAGGCUUUGACGGGUAGCCGGCCUGAGAGGGUGACCGGUCACAUUGGGACUGAGAUGCGGCCCAGACGCCUCCGGGAGGCAGCAGUGGGGAAUAUUGCACAAUGGGCGGAAGCCUGAUGCAGCAACGCCGCGUGCGGGAUGACGGCCUUCGGGUUGUAAACCGCUUUCGCCUGUGACGAAGCGUGAGUGACGGUAAUGGGUAAAGAAGCACCGGCUAACUACGUG
rnacentral:rRNA from 1 species